rnacentral:rRNA from 1 species
AUAGAACGCUGGCGGCAUGCCUUACACAUGCAAGUCGAACGGCAGCACGGGAGCAAUCCUGGUGGCGAGUGGCGAACGGGCGAGUAAAGUAUCGGAACGUGCCCAGUCGUGGGGGAUAACGUAGCGAAAGUUACGCUAAUACCGCAUACGAUCUAUGGAUGAAAGCGGGGGAUCGCAAGACCUCGCGCGAUUGGAGCGGCCGAUAUCAGAUUAGAUAGUUGGUGGGGUAAAGGCUCACCAAGCCGACGAUCUGUAGCUGGUCUGAGAGGACGACCAGCCACACUGGGACUGAGACACGGCCCAGACUCCUACGGGAGGCAGCAGUGGGGAAUUUUGGACAAUGGGCGAAAGCCUGAUCCAGCCAUGCCGCGUGCAGGAUGAAGGCCUUCGGGUUGUAAACUGCUUUUGUACGGAACGAAAAGGUUUGGCCUAAUAAGCUGAGCUCAUGACGGUACCGUAAGAAUAAGCACCGGCUAACUACGUGCCAGCCGCCGCGGUAA